GAUGAACGCUGGCGGCGUGCCUAAUACAUGCAAGUCGAGCGAACAGACGAGGAGCUUGCUCCUCUGACGUUAGCGGCGGACGGGUGAGUAACACGUGGAUAACCUACCUAUAAGACUGGGAUAACUUCGGGAAACCGGAGCUAAUACCGGAUAAUAUAUUGAACCGCAUGGUUCAAUAGUGAAAGACGGUUUUGCUGUCACUUAUAGAUGGAUCCGCGCCGCAUUAGCUAGUUGGUAAGGUAACGGCUUACCAAGGCGACGAUGCGUAGCCGACCUGAGAGGGUGAUCGGCCACACGGGAACUGAGACACGGUCCAGACUCCUACGGGAGGCAGCAGUAGGGAAUCUUCCGCAAUGGGCGAAAGCCUGACGGAGCAACGCCGCGUGAGUGAUGAAGGUCUUCGGAUCGUAAAACUCUGUUAUUAGGGAAGAACAAAUGUGUAAGUAACUAUGCACGUCUUGACGGUACCUAAUCGGAAAGCCACGGCUAACUACGUG
rnacentral:rRNA from 1 species